rnacentral:tRNA from 1 species
GGAUUGUGGCUCAGUGGUAGAGUGCUUGCUUAGCAUACAUGAGACAUGGGUUCUAUUCUCAGCACCA